GACGAACGCUGGCGGCGUGCUUAACACAUGCAAGUCGAACGAAGUGGCGAACGGGUGAGUAACGCGUAAUCAACCUGCCCUUCAGAGGGGGACAACAGUUGGAAACGACUGCUAAUACCGCAUACUGAAGGAGGGGAUUGCGUCUGAUUAGCUAGUUGGAGGGGUAACGGCCCACCAAGGCGAUGAUCAGUAGCCGGUCUGAGAGGAGGAACGGCCACAUUGGUACUGAGCCACGGCCCAGACUCUGACGGGAGGCAGCAGUGGGAAAUUUUCGGCAAGGGACGAAAGCCUGCCGGAGCAACGCCGCGUGGGUGAGGAGGGCCUUCGGGUUGUAAAGCUCUGUUAAUCGGGAGGCGGUACCGGAAUAGAAAGCCCCGGCUAACUCCGUGCCAGCGGCGGCGUAAUAC
rnacentral:rRNA from 1 species